UCCGCAACAUAAGGGACGGACCAUUAUUUUUUUGAAGGGGGGGGAUGAAAAAUUCUUAAAAAAAUUGUUUGCAAAGACAAAAAAGUGCAAAUAAAUUGUUUGCACACAUAGAAAGAGGAAAAAAUAGUUUGCAAGCUAAUGAGAUUAUGCAACAUCAACCAAGGUUACUAUGACAAUGAACAGAGUGCUCACCAACAUACCCAGGGUCUUCACUCCAAAGCCCUGGGAUGGGACACGCUGGGCACAUGUUGCAAUCUACAUAUGGGUUAAAUAUUAAUCUGUUUAAUACAGUCAUUUCGUAAAC